rnacentral:rRNA from 1 species
AGUGAACGCUGGCGGUAGGCCUAACACAUGCAAGUCGAACGGCAGCACAGGAGAGCUUGCUCUCUGGGUGGCGAGUGGCGGACGGGUGAGGAAUACAUCGGAAUCUACUUUUUCGUGGGGGAUAACGUAGGGAAACUUACGCUAAUACCGCAUACGACCUCGGGUGAAAGCAGGGGAUCUUCGGACCUUGCGCGAUUGAAUGAGCCGAUGUCGGAUUAGCUAGUUGGCGGGGUAAAGGCCCACCAAGGCGACGAUCCGUAGCUGGUCUGAGAGGAUGAUCAGCCACACUGGAACUGGGACACGGUCCAGACUCCUACGGGAGGCAGCAGUGGGGAAUAUUGGACAAUGGGCGCAAGCCUGAUCCAGCCAUACCGCGUGGGUGAAGAAGGCCUUCGGGUUGUAAAGCCCUUUUGUUGGGAAAGAAAUCCAGCUGGUUAAUACCCGGUUGGGAUGACGGUACCCAAAGAAUAAGCACCGGCUAACUUCGUGCCAGCAGCCGCCGUAA